CCUCUGAUAGCUCAGUUGACAGAGCGGUGGACUAUAAUGUUUAUCGCGUGAGCAUCCAUAGGUCGCUGGUUCAAAUCCGGCUCAGAGGA
rfam:Trichuris suis scaffold47.2, whole genome shotgun sequence.